UAAAAUAUAAUAUUAAGUUCAAGAUUUUGAUAUAGACAACAUUAGACGGCAAGAACAUGUUUAUUAAUGUUUUCUGGUCUCGUGUUAUUACAUGACAUUUAUUUGUGUACAAAUUGAAAAUGCCAGAAAGUGAUAGGAUUUACAUUUUAAGCCAUGAUGGAAAUAACUAUAUAUAUGUGGUCAAUAUACAUUUUAGUUUCAUCACUGGUCUUUAACGUCAGUUUUUAUCCGUACAAAAUGCUAACUCACAGUAGAUAUUAAAUAUUAAACUCUAUAUUUAUUAUUGCCAUAUACAUAUAAUAAGUUCAUGGUUUUAAUAAAGACAAUAUAAAAUGGCAAGAACAUGCUUAUUAAGGUUUCUGCACACGUGUUGUUAAAUGGCAUUUAUUUGUGUAAAAUUUAAAAAUGUCAGCGAGUGAUAGGAUAUUUUAGUAUCAUCACUAAUUUCAUUUGCGUCAUACCAGCACCCCCACAAAUUGCACACUUAUAUUUCUACAAACAAAAUAGAUAUAAUAUCUUAAAUCCCAUAAAUAUAUUAAUAUUUGUAUAUAUAUAUUUGCAUUGCCAUAUAAUUAUAAUUAUUUCACGCCUAUUUUGCUGUAGGAUUUCCUGUGUUAUCCCGUCAUCGUUACGUCACGGCUUAUCAUUUUUUGUUUGUCUGGUUAAACGCCUGUCAAAAUAGUUAUGAGGGAGGUUAACCCUAACGAUGUCUAUUAAAGUGUACUUCUAUAUGAAAAAAUAAACACGAGGUCGUUGUUCGAUGAUAAUUUAUUAUUUUUAUCUCAUAUCAAAGUUUGAACUUUAACAUCGCCUGAUUUUUGUUUAUUCACAAUCUGUAUUUACAUUUGCUGUGUAAAUUUAUAUUAAUGAUUCAAACCCCGUUAUUUGACAUUGGGCAUGUUAUUGGAUGCAAAUGGUUUGGGUUGUUGAUUGGUUGAAGCAUGGAUCUGAAAAUUUCCUUUUCGAAAAAAAUACUUUUUUGUGAAUUUUCUAAUAAAGUCACUUUAGAGAAUGGACGACCUUUUAACAUCGAAUGGGAUUCCAUUCAAUUUACUUAACAGUUAAUACGAACUAUAAAAAAUGGCAAAGAAUAAAAACACAAAAAGCAGGUGCAGGUGCAAUAAGGUUUGCCUCCUUAUGGCGUAGAAUAUACUUUUCUGAAAUAUUUAUGAAGGAUUACAUGUAUUCACAAAGCCUUUACAAAUUGUAUACUAAAGACCUUUCUUUUUGCAAACAUGGUUAAUCAAUUUUACGCGUGCCGCUAUUUAAGUCACCUUUCACUGGUCUGUUGGUUGGCCUGUUCUCGACAAGAUAUUUUACAUUUUCAAUUAUACUUUUAUCAGAUAUGAACUUCAUUUCUCUUGAAAUUUCAUAAAGCAUGUAAAUUUUAAAAUUAUGUGCAAAUAAACAUCAAAAGGGGGCCUGGAUCCACCUAGAAAAUACACUAGAAAGUUAUGUAUACUCUGAUAUAUUCUACCAACAAGUCAGUACUACUGCUGGUCUAUUUUAGUCCAUAGGGACUCACUUGUAUAUUAACCUUUGCCUCAGCAUUGACAAUGCUCAUUUACGUAUAUACUAUUUGAGAAUAUAUAUAGUUCUAAUCAAAUAGAUUUUAUAAAUGUUUCAUAAACUUGUGUUAACAAGGUGACCUGCGAUUGUUUGAGCUAUUUCUGAUGUUGUAUAUCCAUUCAUAUUGAAAAUGUAAAUAAUUUUGUAAUGAAUAAGUUCUUGUAUACAUAUCAAAUCAUGCAGAUGUGUCCUCCUGUUGAUUCUGCUUAUAUUAAACAUGUAGAGUCGUGUGUAAACUUUACUUGGUUCCAAAACAUAAACCUUCGCUUAAAGAUGCUUUCUAAAGAGGCGUGAAGUCCAAAGACGAAUGUUUUUUGUCCACGAUUAGAAAUACACUCGUUUCUGUAUUAUCUUUUUUAUAUUUAUCCAUCAUCUCAAUAUAACACUGCAAUAAAUAACAUAAAAGAUACAUUUGUUAUUUGUCACCUGAAUGGUGAUACAUACGCGUUCAUGUAACACCCCAUUGUCUCUAACAUAUUUAUAUUUAUACUCUACAAUGGGCGCCACGUCGGCGUCUUUUUUCAUUUGUGUGUGUUCUUUAAAAAUAUAUACAUUAAAGUAGAAUAACAAAUAUAUCCUAGGAAAAUUCAAAACAGAAAGUACAUAAUCAAACGGCAAUAUCAAAAGCUCAAAACACACCAAACGUAUGGAUAAUUACUGUAAUAUUCAAUACUUUUACAGGCACUUUCUUAUGUAGAAAAUAAUCGAUAAAACCUGGUUGUAUAGCUAGCUAAACCUCUCUCUUGUACAUGUAUGACAGUCACAUAAAAUUCCAUUAUAUUGCUAGCAAUUUCUUUUCCAUCAAACUGGGGAUCAGAAUAUUUUUUAGGUCAAAACCAUACACCACCUCAGUCCUUAAGUUAAAUGAGCGUUCCCUUAGAGAACAUUCACAAUAUAUUACGCCCACACUAUAUAUUCAUGAUCAUCUGUGCAAACAUUAUCUUUCUUGAUUUAAACACUUUUGCUAAAUUUGUCAAAGAAGCUGUAUUAAAAGCACUAAAACCUACUUGACGUAGCGCGAACUAUGCAUGAGAUUACAGUUUAUGUAUGAUAUUAUGAAUCUUAUUUAUCCUGAUGGGAAGACACCACUAUCGUGAGGUCUAUGCCCGUAGCACCUGAGCACAAUUUAAAUUUAGAAAGAAAUCACUAUGUGUCUGAUGUUGCUAAUUUUGAACUGUUUGAGUGCGUGUUUUAGUAUAUCAAAUCUAAAAACGUCGUCCUUGUCUGCGUUACACUAAGUUAAUCCGCAAUUUCUUCAAAACGUUAAUCUGAAAUUCUUAUAUUAGCAAAAAUACAGAACUCAACUUAACUCUCACAGAUUCUUAUACAAGAUAUGAA
rnacentral:lncRNA from 1 species